AAAUGUGGAGGUGGAAACAUUGCCUGUGAGUUUCCUGACACUCUCCAUCCACUGCAAAGACACCCUGCUGUUUUUCCAAUUCCUCCAGGACCGGGAAGCACAAGAGAGCCUACCCUGGAUGACACAAAACAAUGCAUGAAAACAGCUGAGGUUGCUGUGAAAGAGCAAGCUGGGGGAUGAGUGCCAGUUCAGCUGCUUUGUUGCAUCUCUGCACCUGCACAGAGCAGAGUAGGGCAGCUGCGGACAGGGUGCAUCUGUGCGUGUGAGGUCAAGGUCACUGAUCCUUGUUCACAUGAAUCAUUCUCAGCGCUCAUGAAAAACACCCCUGAGAACAUCCCAGCGUGUUGGAGCACCAAUAGCUUCGGCAGGCUCCUGCCACUCCUGAGUCACCUCUGCCAGCCAGAACUCACAGGGAAGGUGCUGUAGGAGGACUUGCCGGCGGGCAGGAGGAGGUUUGUGCCGAAGGCUGUCAUUCCCCUAGCGCGGAAUUCUUCUGAUCCCAGGA
rnacentral:lncRNA from 1 species